AGAUUGAACGCUGGCGGCAUGCCUAACACAUGCAAGUCGAACGGGAGUAGCAAUACUCUAGUGGCGGACGGGUGAGGAAUACGUAGGAAUUUGCCCUUAAGUGGGGGAUAACCCGGGGAAACCCGGAUUAACUACCGCAUGACCUCGAAAGAGCAAAGUGGGGGAUCGCAAGACCUCACGCUUUUGGAGAAGCCUACGUCGGAUUAGCUAGUUGGUGAGGUAAUGGCUCACCAAGGCGACGAUCCGUAACUGGUCUGAGAGGAUGAUCAGUCACACCGGAACUGAGACACGGUCCGGACUCCGUACGGGAGCAGCGAGGUGGGAAUAGUUGGACAAGUGGGCGACUAAGCCUGACUCCAGCAAUCGCCGCGUUGU
rnacentral:rRNA from 1 species